rnacentral:rRNA from 1 species
GACGGAGGGUGCUAGCGUUGUUCGGAAUGACUGGGCGUAAAGGGCGCGUAGGCGGCUCGUGAAGUCGGGUGUGAAAGCCCGGGGCUCAACCCCGGAACGGCAUCCGAUACUGGCGGGCUUGAGACCGGGAGAGGAGGGUGGAAUACCCAGUGUAGAGGUGAAAUUCGUAGAUAUUGGGUGGAACACCGGUGGCGAAAGCGGCUCUCUGGCCCGGCAUUGACGCUGAGGAGCGAAAGCCAGGGGAGCAAAGCGGG